ACGAACGCUGGCGGCGUGCUUAACACGUGCAAGUCGAGCGGUAAGGCCCUUUCGGGGGUACACGAGCGGCGAACGGGUGAGUAACACGUGGGUGACCUGCCCUCAGCUCUGGGAUAAGCCUGGGAAACCGGGUCUAAUACUGGAUAUGACUCCAUGACGCAUGUUGUGGGGUGGAAAGCCUUGUGCGGCUGAGGAUGGGCCCGCGGCCUAUCAGCUUGUUGGUGGGGUGAUGGCCUACCAAGGCGACGACGGUAGCCGGCCUGAGAGGGCGACCGGCCACACUGGGACUGAGACACGGCCCAGACUCCUACGGGAGGCAGCAGUGGGGAAUCUUGCGCAAUGGGCGAAAGCCUGACGCAGCGACGCCGCGUG
rnacentral:rRNA from 1 species